UUAACGAGAUGGUACGAACGGAGCGUCCGGACUGGCAGAAUGUCAUGCUUUAUGUUACAGCGAUUUACAAAUACUUUGAAACCUGAAAGCCUGAACAUUAAGAGGAAGCAGAAACCCAACACGAUGCACAAAGCACCAUUAGCAUCUUGUGGAACUCUUAACAGGCCUUUCUGAGUGGCUUUAGUGAGCAAGGUUUUGUUACUGCAGUGCUGGGGCAAAGCCAAAUAGCUAAACUUGCUGGAUUAACUUAUUAGCCUAUGAAGCCUGAACUUUGAGAAGGAUCUGGUAAUGUCAGGUGUCACAAAGCUUUCAUAAUUCUGUUGGAGGAAAAUGAACUGAGUGGAUGCUGGAGAAGUGCAUGUUUGGAAAGCCAGAAUUUCAGAGGAGGAGCUCUCUAUGACUGCAUUCAUGGACAUUUCUGCAUAAAGUAUCCCAAGGGUUACUCUGCUCCUGCCUCCUCAACACGCACCAUGACGUCCAGAGGAGGGUACGGGGCUCCUAAGCAGAACCUGUCGAUGACCUUAUCAUAGAUCCUCCUGCUGCCAGAUGCACAACUACAGGAAGUAUGAGGCUGUUACUCCCUCUGUCAGGUUCAUCUGACUGAAGGUGGUGCUACCUCCAUUGACACAACAAAGGGAAGGCUCCCCUUCAGCCCCAGGUCUGUAUUUAGGCCUGCCUCUGCCCACAGUCAACAGAGCUUCCAGGCUGGUCCCUAGCCACCACACAUGUGAUUUCGAAAGUCAGGUGGCAUUUUGCAGCAGUUUGUGCUUCCAGAAUUUACCUUGUAGGAUUCUUCCUUACUUUUGCUUUCUAGCCUGUUUGGCAAAGUGUAAGCUUUCCUUUGAAGGUGUUCAAGGGAAGGUGUGCUUUUGAUGGCCGGACAGGGCAGGCUCCUGUCUCUCACCUGGCAAUAGUGAUCUCUUGCUGCCAUGGCCCAUGAGAAGCUUUGUGGUGUGUCCUGAUCUGCCAACAGUUGUUGCUCAGAGGAAGCUGGCUGGGUUUAUGUAAAAGGAGUUUUUGUGGAUUUCCUUUGCAGGAUUUGCUUAAAUUGAUGGAGUGUGUUCUGGAGGAGUGCUUUGCAAGAUGGGCCCAUUAGACUAAAAUUGGCUUCCGGUGAACCUAGUUUGCAGUGUGGGGCUCAUGGAAAACACAGAACUCUGACUUCUUGCAUUGUGGGUAUGCAUUCACCUGGCACAGUUCUGUGCGUGUAAAGCAGUCAAGCAAGUGCCUUACUUGGCCCUGCGCUAAGAGAAACUGCAGCUCUGGGGCCCUGCACAGAAGACUCGUCAGCCCCAAAGGCCUCCCGUAGCCCCAGCAGCACGCCUUGGGCAAGGGGCUGCCAUCAGUCCACCCUCGGGUGACAGGGAAGGCCCCGCCCCGCCUCCUGGCUGUGGAACAGCUUGGGCCCGCUUGGGUCACUGGUGUGGGUGUGCGUUGGUUCAGGGAUGGCAUAUGUGUGUGUGUGCAGCUCUUUUAAUAAACCCUGCUCACUUUGGUUGAUGAAUGUCCUUAUGUGCUUCUUCCACCCAUUUUCCUCCCAGUUAGAAAUAAUAGCCCUGCUAUUUUUUUCUGUGUGCCUGGAAAGAACCCUUUUGAAAGUGACCAAGACCAGCUCCAAGACCUACCAACUGCAUAACUAACAAAAUAGUUUUAGGUACUGAACUAUGUCUUGGGGCAAUUCAGAAUAUAAACACUGAAGAAUGUGGCCAGAGUCUGUUUCCUUGUGCCUCCGCUAUCUUCUGCAUGUGCCCUGGAGUGUGAGGAAUCCUUCAAACUCAGUCAUGGCUGUUAGCUGUCUGGUGCCGCAGUCCCAUCACAGAAAGAUAGCAAGCCCUCAAAGGAAUAAGAAAAGUUAAACAGAAAGCAAACAUUACUUUCUAUAAUAAAAGCUGAACUUAAGAAAUUUGUUUUGUUCUUGAUUAGAUAAUUAGCUACAUGAUCCUGCUUGAAAAGGCAUUACUCAAUUACUUCUUCAUUUUUAAAAGACCAACUGAAUUACAUGUUAACUGUAAAGUAUAUUCUUGCUGUUUUUGUUCUAUUAAAUAUUUUUGAAUAUAUGCUAAAACU